AUGGCAGGCCUUCAAUGUGUUAAGAUGGAUACAAUAUACAACCUUCUCCAGCAGCACAGACUGGACACCUACCACCACAAAUUCCUCACUUUGGGUGUCCAAGACGAGAGAGAUUUCACCGAUGGCGUAAAUGGUGAAGAUUUAGACAAAAUGGGUUUCAGUCAAGUAGAGAAGAAUCGCUUUGAAAAAAUGAAAGAUUUCAUCCAAAGACUCAGAGCGCCACAGCAAGCGAUGCCUGUACAAAAACCAAUGGAGUCUUUCCAACUGUGGUACACAUACCCCCACUGUCCUGAGCUAAAAGAGAUCAGAGACAUGGAUCCUGCUACCAACACCGUUGAAGACCUGAUGCUAAGGAUCUGCCACCAAGAGGGCAUUGAGAACUCUAAAGCUGUGUGCCUCUACACAGUUGAUGGAAUGCCUCUAACUGAUGAUCCUUUCUUCAACACAUGGUCUUUGAAAGACAGGCACAUUGAAAAUGGAAGUGAGCUCUAUGCCAUGUUUACACCCAAGGAGAACUUGAGACCAGCCCUGCUAGUGACACUGCAAGAAAUAACUGACAUGACAGGAGAGGAUAAUGUUCGAUGCCACAUCAUGCUCAAGGGAGACUUUGAGGUCAAGGUGGACUUGGCAAGUGACACAUUACGAGAUCUGAGACAGAAGCUCUCUGAUGAAAGUGGAAUCCCAGCACAUGUCCUCCAUUAUAAGUAAUCUUAUGUUCAUUAAUUCAUUUAAUCAUUAACCUCUUGGCGCACCAAUCCCUUUAGCGUUUGUCAACAUCCAUUUGUCAACAUCCGCUGAAUUGCAGAGCAAGGAAUUUGUAAUACAUUUGAUAGCAUAAAACACAUACAUUUGAUAGCAUAAAACACAUACAUUUGAUAGCAUAAAAACACAUACAUUUGAUAGCAUAAAAACACAUACAUUUGAUAGCAUAAAACACAUACAUUUGAUAGCAUAAAAACACAUACAUUUGAUAGCAUAAAACACAUACAUUUGAUAGCAUAAAAACACAUACAUUUGAUAGCAUAAAACACAUACAUUUGAUAGCAUAAAAACACAUACAUUUGAUAGCAUAAAACACAUACAUUUUAAAACCCCAGCACAUUUCAUGUUGUAACUACUGAUAGUAUCAAUACAAUGUUUUCUUUCACACAGCAUCAGUAGCCAUGAUAAGACAUCAUUAUUAAGUCAAUGUUGAUGUUUCUGCAGAUGUGAACGCGGUGGAGUUGGACAGACUUUGCUAGAUUGUGGAAUCAAUGAGGAGUCAACUGUGUUCUUUUCUCUGUCCUCCUUCCCUGAUGAGCGUCCAGACACUAUGGAAUUCUACUUCAAUGAUGUCGUACCCUCAGUGCAACAAUCCCAGAAAGGACUCAGUGCUUUCUUUUCUUCACUUUAUGCCAUUGUGAGAUAUUCCACUAUUUAUUACACUGUCUUGUCAUGUUUGACCAUGCUCAGGCCAAGCAUGCAACAUGGUUCCUUUGCUUGUCUCAUUGGUUUUGAUGUGAACUUCGUCCCCUGCUAUAACACAUUCAAUGCUUUCCCCCUAAUCUUUACAGAGCAAUAGAGAACACCGUUCUGGAGAUAUAUUAAGCAUAGUGACUGCAUACAUCCGAAAGCUCAGUGGGUGCAAUCCUUUGGCCCAAAGUCUGCAUCAGCUGUUGUAUAGAAAUGAGGUUGGAACAAGGACCCAGAAGGUGAUAUAUAUUUAGUCACAAAAGCAUACAAAUAUAAUAUCAUUUAAUAUGUCCACAAAUGUAUGAAUAA
ensembl:lncRNA